rnacentral:rRNA from 1 species
GAUGAACGCUGGCGGCGUGCCUAAUACAUGCAAGUCGAGCGAACAGACGAGGAGCUUGCUCCUCUGACGUUAGCGGCGGACGGGUGAGUAACACGUGGAUAACCUACCUAUAAGACUGGGAUAACUUCGGGAAACCGGAGCUAAUACCGGAUAAUAUAUUGAACCGCAUGGUUCAAUAGUGAAGGACGGUUUUGCUGUCACUUAUAGAUGGAUCCGCGCCGCAUUAGCUAGUUGGUAAGGUAACAGCUUACCAAGGCAACGAUGCGUAGCCGACCUGAGAGGGUGAUCGGCCACACUGGAACUGAGACACGGUCCAGACUCCUACGGGAGGCAGCAGUAGGGAAUCUUCCGCAAUGGGCGAAAGCCUGACGGAGCAACGCCGCGUGAGUGAUGAAGGUCUUCGGAUCGUAAAACUCUGUUAUUAGGGAAGAACAAAUGUGUAAGUAACUAUGCACGUCUUGACGGUACCUAAUCAGAAAGCCACGGCUAACUACGUG